AUAGUACUCCCUCUGUCCAAUAAAAGAUGUCUCAUGUUUUUAAAAAUUUAAAUGUACCUAGACAUGAUUUAGUAUAUAGAUGCAUUAAAAUUUAAUCAGAGUUAGACAUACUUUGUUGGACGGGAGGAGUAGCAA
rnacentral:pre_miRNA from 1 species